GUACCACCGCCCGUNCGCUGUCCGGGAACUGCANCUGUUUCGAGUAAGNAGUGGGGACUGCUAUAUCGGGGCUUUCGGGCUCUGGUAUGAUGGAAACCAUUUUAAUCGCAAUGGCUUGAACCGGGCAAAAGUCGUAACAAGGUAUCUGUAGGUGAACCUGCAGAUGGAUCAUCGUCGAUGCCUUAUAGGUAUAUGCUUUGAUCACGAGAUGCUGAUAAUCAUGGAAUCAAGCUUGCUCUUGAUUUCAGUCGGUGUCUCACCCCAUCUAAGCUCUCGGAGAGGUGUCUAUUCUUGAUUGGAGCCGAUUUGAGUGACGGCAAUGAUAAUUGGAUAUGCUCCCGUUCGGAUAAGAGCAUAAGACUUAAUGAGCUGAUCUAGGUCUGUCGCCUCACCAAAAACCCAUCGAUAGUUGGUGGGCUAAGUGAUGAGACUUUGUCAAAAUCACUAAUCNUGCUAUGCGGGGAGCCUUAAUGAGUUGUUCGUGUCACUUGGCCGAGACAACCGCCAGUAUCGAUAAAUCUCUUCCCAAAUUAACUUGUUUCUAGUAAAGGCUAUUGAGUUAGUGGAACAUUAGCCUUAGCGAUGGAUCGGUUGAUUCGCGUAUCGAUGAAAAACGCAGCAAGCUGCGUUAUUUGCCACGAAUUGCAGACGCUUAGAGUGGUGAAAUUUUGAACGCACAGCGCCGUUGGGUUUUCCCUUCGGCACGUCUGGCUCAGGGUUGUUUGAUAGACUUCGGUAUUGCUUGGAAGGCAGCAAUACCGCGAACCAAACGGUGAUAGUGUCUAGAAUAUGUGGUGCAUGCCCCGUUACAGGGGAGAAUGGUGGUUAAAUGAACUUCUCUUAACGCCGGAGAAGUAUUAGGUUUCACUUAUGGAUAUGCCAUGUAUGAAAUACGACGUGGUUAUAUACAUAAAUCGUGUUUCCUAUAAGUCUCAUUAUGCAACCUGAGCUCAGUCGUGACUACCCGCCGAACUUAAGCAUAUCAUUGCAGCGGNGAAAAGAAACUAACUAGGUC
rnacentral:rRNA from 1 species